UAACACUACAUUCUAGCUAAGCCUCUCUGACCUUAUCACGGAGCAGUAAGAUCUGUCUGUUCUCCCAAACGCAUGUGCCUCACAGCAGGGAGAGGGAAAUGUGCAUAAUGUACCUGAUUUAAAUGUCGCACUCAGAUUAUUCAAACAAGCAAAUGCUUCUCCCAGUUUGAAGCAUUAUGUGACAUGAUUUUCUUAAAUAGAUUGAUUUCAAUGAUCUCUCAAUCAUUUUUAGCUUCCUGUAAGUCAAAAGAUGAUUAAAAUUCUUGAAGAAAUAUUAAGCAGAGGUCAUUAACUGGUCUGACUAAGAGAGUCAACUUCCAACACCCAACAUUUGCAGCUCUUUUGUUGAAGACUGCAAUUGCUUACUUUUAUGUGAGGCAAACCAGAAGCAUGGGAGAAUAAUCA